UCUGAAUAUGUCUGAAUAUGGGGGGACCAUCCUCCAAGGCUAAAUACUCCUGACUGACCGAUAGUGAACCAGUACCGUGAGGGAAAGGCGAAAAGAACCCCGGCGAGGGGAGUGAAAAAGAACCUGAAACCGUGUACGUACAAGCAGUGGGAGCACAGGUUUACCUGUGUGACUGCGUACCUUUUGUAUAAUGGGUCAGCGACUUAUAUUCUGUAGCAAGGUUAACCGUAUAGGGGAGCCGGAGGGAAACCGAGUCUUAACCGGGCGUUAAGUUGCAGGGUAUAGACCCGAAACCCGGUGAUCUAGCCAUGGGCAGGUUGAAGGUUGGGUAACACUAACUGGAGGACCGAACCGACUAAUGUUGAAAAAUUAGCGGAUGACCUGUGGCUGGGGGUGAAAGGCCAAUCAAACCGGGAGAUAGCUGGUUCUCCCCGAAAGCUAUUUAGGUAGCGCCUCGUGAAUUCAUCUCCGGGGGUAGAGCACUGUUUCGGCUAGGGGGCC
rnacentral:rRNA from 1 species